AUCUACAGACUGCACCGUCCGCUUGUGGAGUCUGGAUGGCGAAUACAUUGGGACCUUUGGCCAGGCAGAGCCAUGGGAGGUUUCCACUCCAGCCUCCUGGAAACACCCCCGGGUUCCCUAUGAAAUCCUCACGGACCCACAGAGCCUGCCCCUUCAUCCAGUGCUGGCAGGACAGGCUCCUGCCUCACAAGCCGCCGGCUCUGAGCCGAGUCCCGAAGCCCAGGGGAGGCCUGGGCCUAAGAUUGAAACACAAGCACUAGAACUUAAAUAAGCUGCUCAAUAAGGGAUUAAGCAGUUACCACACCAUUAACUGCUGUGAAACAGUCAAUGUUCCAGAAAUUUGUGAAAAACCUUAUUUGUCUGUACUUGGCACAGAUUUGUUUUAUGAAGGUUCAUUAGAGGAAAAUUAGAGCAGCAGCUUCUCUGGAGGUAACUGAACACGUAACAAUCUAUCACCCCAGGGCCAGCAAAGCUUCUCAGGUAGCUCCAAGCACUAGCUGCUCCAUUAGAGUUCUGUUUUCAGUGAAAUGUCUCUUAAAAUAUCCUUUAUGUUCAGAUACAGGACUAGAACCAUACUAUGCAUUUCARGCAAGUAAUAAACUAUGCAAGUAGCAGCUUAAAAAACAACUUAAAUUUUAGUGCUUAUGUCCUGAUCCUACUUGGAUCAAGAUCUUGACCACUACAUUGGAACACAAGUACUGCCUCUCUCCGCCCUCCAAGCAGUUUUGAAAUCCCAUCUGUCCUCAAAGCUCUAGAAAAAGGAAGAAUCUAAAU